AUACUUACCUGGCAGGGAGAUACCUUGAUCACGAAGGAGGGUUUUCCAGGGUGAGGCUCAUCCAUUGCACUCCGGGUGUGCUGACCCCUGCGAUUUCCCCAAAUGCGGGAAACUCGACUGCAUAAUUGUGGUAGUGGGGACUGCGUUCGCGCUUCCCCUGA
rnacentral:snRNA from 1 species